UACGUAGGGUGCGAGCGUUAAUCGGAAUUACUGGGCGUAAAGCGUGCGCAGGCGGCUUUGCAAGACAGAUGUGAAAUCCCCGGGCUUAACCUGGGAACUGCAUUUGUGACUGCAUGGCUGGAGUGCGGCAGAGGGGGGAUGGAAUUCCGCGUGUAGCAGUGAAAUGCGUAGAUAUGCGGAGGAACACCGAUGGCGAAGGCAAUCCCUGGGCCUGCACUGACGUCAUGCACGAAAGCGUGGGAGCAAC
rnacentral:rRNA from 1 species